rnacentral:rRNA from 1 species
CCUACGGGUGGGCAGCAGUGAGGAAUAUUGGUCAAUGGGCGGAAGCCUGAACCAGCCAAGUAGCGUGCAGGAUGACGGCCCUACGAGUUGUAAACUGCUUUUAUACGGGAAUAAAGCGCCUUACGUGUAGGUCUUUGCAGUUACCGUAUGAAUAAGGACCGGCUAAUUCCGUGCCGGCAGCCGCGGUAAUACGGAAGGUCCGGACGUUAUCCGGAUUUAUUGGGUUUAAAGGUGACGUAGGCGGCAUGUCAAGCGUGCUGUGAAAUGUCCGGGCUCAACCCGGGCCUUGCAGUGGGAACUGGCGUUCUUGAGUCCGCGGAAAGCAGGCGGAAUGCGUGGUGUAGCGGUGAAAUGCUUAGAGAUGACGAAGAACCCCGAUUGCGAAGGCAGCUUGCUGCAGCGGAACUGACGCUGAUGCUCGAAAGCGCGGGUAUCGAACAGGAUUAGAUACCCUUGUAGUC